CAGCUGCUCUCGGCGCUACACAGGAGACUGGGAGACCGAACCGCCAACACACGCGCGGGCCUGUGACCAACGGGCUCCCUCCCUGGAGGGGAGGCUUCGCCGAGAGCCCGGAAAGCGGGGUGCUACGGCGGAGGACCGACGCUCAUCCCAGCACCCCUCCUCCAGCGGGGCCGAGUCGCCGCAGGUUGGCGCCGGAGGGUCUCCGGACGCGUAGCCCACCUGCCCCACCCCGCCCACGCCUCUCCCGCGCGGGGCCCCGGCCCCGCGAGACCGCGGGCCGCGCGCGGGCGUUGAGGACGCUGCGCGGAGGCCAGGUAACAGAAUUUGAGGAGUGGGACGCUGCCAGAAUUUGAGGAGUGAUUAAGAUUAUCAGUGAUGGAUACAUUGACUGUCGGGACUGUGCUCUCCAUAUUUUGAGGAAAAGAUGCCUCCUGCCCUGCCCAGACCUAUGAGACUCUACAUUUCCCACAUAAUUUCCCUGCUGAGGACCAGAUGGCUCCCUGCUGCCUACUCGAGCCAGUCUAUGUCCUGCUGGCUGCUGGGUCUUCUGUGAUCUAGCCUAGUUUGUGCUUACCUACCCCCACUGAUGUCCCAUCUGGACAGCGUGAUGGCCAUGGGGUGCAAGACAGGGAGAAGACCAGUUAUUCAGGCCAGCACAACUGUUAAGUGACUGCACUGCUAACAAAAAUUGCCUUGUCUCAGGAGCAUAAAAAUACUUUUUACGUGAAAUCAAUAACAGAAACACUUUGAGUAAAGCAUGUUUUUACUUGAUUAAGAAA